rnacentral:rRNA from 1 species
CGCUGGCGGCGUGCUUAACACAUGCAAGUCGAACGGAAAGGCCUGCUUUCCCUUGUGGAUUGCGGGUGCUCGAGUGGCGAACGGGUGAGUAACACGUGAGUGAUCUGCCCCCAACUUGGGUAUAAGCCUGGGAAACUGGGUCUAAUUCCCGAUAGGACUGCAGGGUGGUGCCUGUGGUGGAAAACGAUUUUCUAGUGGUUGGGGAUGAGCUCGCGGCCUAUCAGCUUGUUGGUGGGGUAAUGGCCUACCAAGGCGGCGACGGGUAGCCGGCCUGAGAGGGUGGACGGCCACAUUGGGACUGGGAAACGGCCCAGGCACCUACGGGAGGCAGCAGUGGGGAAUAUUGCACAAUGGGCGGAAGCCUGAUGCAGCGACGCCGCGUGGGGGAUGACGGGCUUCGGGUUGUAAACUCCUUUCGACCGCGAGGAAGCCACCUGGUUGGAAGGGUGGUGACGGUAGUGGUAGAAGAAGCACCGGCUAACUACGUG